ACCUGCAGGGCCCGAGGAAAAAAACAUUACCACAGCAAGAGCACUGGCUCGCCCCUCGCCCACGAAGUCACCGCCAUCGCCGCUGCCCACGCUGGGCGCUUCCGACGACCUACGGCGGCACGCAGUACGCUCCCGAGCUCCCCACGGUCUGCGCAUCCCUCUCCUCCGGACAUAUUCUUGGCUCCCAUCCUGAGCCGCCCGGUCGGAACCACCCCGUGGCUAGGGUUUCGGACAGGGCUGCGCCGACGCGUCUCCAGCGGCCCUAGGUACACAAGUUUGGUCAAUUGAUGCAGAGAAAUUUAUAUGUUGUGGGGAUGAAGGAGCAGGAUCUGUUGUACAAUUAGAGUCUGCAGUUUGCUUUCCAGGAGUAGGAGAUGGAUCUCUGUUCCUGUGUUUUGGGGAAAAGACAAUUCUGAAUUUGGCAACAAAAGUGUGAACCAUCACCAUUCAGUGUCAAAUAAUCUAAAGGUGUUGGCAUGGCCUAGUUUACCUCAUAAGAUGAGCAAUGUAUUUAUUCCUCGCAAUGGACCUCAAUAGCUUGGUCGGAAUAAUCCAUUUCUUUCCGUUGAUUUAGAGCACAAGAUCCUUCAUUAUUGACAAAUGAGUUCUGCACACCGGCUAGCACAAAAUCAGAAUUACUUUCUUCAGAUGGAGUUCUCUGGAUCAUCAGGAUCAUUGAUAUACACACCUGAAACUCAAAGCGAGAUAGCGACAGUUAUUUAGGGGGUUUUGCUUGGUCUUUUUCUACUUCCCUUGCUGUACACAAACUAAAUCUCUUUUGGAUGUACAGCAAGCAAUCAGUGAAUUUGCAACUGGAUAGCAUGAGGAAGUUAAUGGACCUAGAUUUUGAGUGGUAUUUACCCGGUGAGCAUCCCUUCAAAGUAUUGCAUACAUAAUAUAUAUUAUCAAAAUUCAGUUUCGUAUCUGGACCUGCAAGCCAUCUCAUAAGAUCUUCAAUUCAAUUGAUUUUCUUUAACUUUCACUAAUUUGUUAGUUGUCUCUCUCCAGGGCAUGGCUAUCGAAUCCGGUAUGAAAACGUACAUGCCAAAACAACUGAGUCUUUACUGAUUGAUUGAUUAGUGAAUUGAUCAUUUAA